rfam:Salmo salar isolate Sally breed double haploid chromosome ssa01, whole genome shotgun sequence.
GUUGUAGAAUUUUGUAAGUCGCUCUGGAUAAGAGCGUCUGCUAAAUGACUUAAA